rnacentral:rRNA from 1 species
AGUCGAACGGUAGCACAGAGAGCUUGCUCUCGGGUGACGAGUGGCGGACGGGUGAGUAAUGUCUGGGAAACUGCCUGAUGGAGGGGGAUAACUACUGGAAACGGUAGCUAAUACCGCAUAACGUCGCAAGACCAAAGAGGGGGACCUUCGGGCCUCUUGCCAUCAGAUGUGCCCAGAUGGGAUUAGCUAGUAGGUGGGGUAACGGCUCACCUAGGCGACGAUCCCUAGCUGGUCUGAGAGGAUGACCAGCCACACUGGAACUGAGACACGGUCCAGACUCCUACGGGAGGCAGCAGUGGGGAAUAUUGCACAAUGGGCGCAAGCCUGAUGCAGCCAUGCCGCGUGUAUGAAGAAGGCCUUCGGGUUGUAAAGUACUUUCAGCGGGGAGGAAGGUGUUGUGGUUAAUAACCGCAGCAAUUGACGUUACCCGCAGAAGAAGCACCGGCUAACUCCGUGCCAGCAGCCGCGGUAAUACGGAGGGUGCAAGCGUUAAUCGGAAUUACUGGGCGUAAAGCGCACGCAGGCGGUCUGUCAAGUCGGAUGUGAAAUCCCCGGGCUCAACCUGGGAACUGCAUUCGAAACUGGCAGGCUAGAGUCUUGUAGAGGGGGGUAGAAUUCCAGGUGUAGCGGUGAAAUGCGUAGAGAUCUGGAGGAAUACCGGUGGCGAAGGCGGCC